GACGAACGCUGGCGGCGCGCUUAACACAUGCAAGUCGAGCGAUGAAAUUUCGACAGAUCCCUUCGGGGUGAAGAUGAAAUGGAUUAGCGGCGGACGGGUGAGUAACACGUGAGUAACCUGCCUUUGACAUUGGGAUAGCCUCGGGAAACUGGGAUUAAUACCAAAUGACACUAACUGAUCACAUGAUCAAUUAGUCAAAGAAAUUCGGUCAAAGAUGGACUCGCGGCUGAUUAGCUAGUUGGUGAGGUAACGGCCCACCAAGGCGACGAUCAGUAGCCGGGCGGGGAGGGUGAUCGGCCACAUUGGAACUGAGACACGGUCCAAACUCCUACGGGAGGCAGCAGUGGGGAAUAUUGCACAAUGGGGGAAACCCUGAUGCAGCGACGCCGCGUGAGCGAAGAAGGCCUUCGGGUCGUAAAGCUCUUUUAUGAGGGAAGAUAGUGACGGUACCUCAAGAAAAAGCCCCGGCUAACUACGUG
rnacentral:rRNA from 1 species